GAAUCAAAGCUCUGUCCCGGUAGGAAUAAGAUUAGAGCAUCUUCCUUCCUUGUUUCUGCCAUGUUGUUGGUGAUGACGAACAAGAUGCUUUACUUGGCACCAAUAAUUCUGAAUAAUCUUUAAUUUCACAACAGGUAUGGGGACACACAGUGGAGGAAAAAGCUGGGGAGGAAAAUUGAGUGCUCUGUUGCUACAUGUCCCUUCCAGCAUGUGACAGAGCUGCAUGACACAAAUGGCUUCAAGAAACAUCUCAUCUCCUCAUUGUGUUGCUUCCUGUUGGAAUCCUAACUGUGCCCUGCUGACCUUUCAUGGAGCAGCUUAUUUAGAAUGAGCUUUAAAAAGGACGGCUGAAAAUCAACUUUUGUGACAGAUUAUUUUUAAAAGAUUUCUGAAAGCAUCACUUCUAGAAGUACCUCCCCUCGGAAGAUGGACUGUGCAGCAGUGCAUUCUUAAAUCGGAGAGGAAAAUAAAUUGUGCUUCAUGGAUAAGCGUGAGGACUGUCCAUGGGAAUGAUAUCUUUUUGCUUUAUUUCUAAAGCUCCGAAGGAAGUGAAUUACAGAAUUAGAGUUCAUUUUACAGUUUAUUAAAAGUGG